rnacentral:rRNA from 1 species
ACAUAGGGGGCAAGCGUUAUCCGGAAUUAUUGGGUGUAAAGGGUGCGUAGACGGAAGAACAAGUUGGUUGUGAAAUCCCUCGGCUCAACUGAGGAACUGCAACCAAAACUAUUCUCCUUGAGUGUCGGAGAGGAAAGUGGAAUUCCUAGUGUAGCGGUGAAAUGCGUAGAUAUUAGGAGGAACACCAGUGGCGAAGGCGACUUUCUGGACGAUAACUGACGUUGAGGCACGAAAGUGUGGGGAGCAA